CCAGCGCUGCCGUUCGCUCCCGGCGGCGGCGGCGGCUUCUCCUCAGUGAAGAGGCGCCGGAACCCUCGGGCGCCGUCGGAUCCCGCGGCCCCGCUCCUUCAAGCGGCCGGUGAUCGGCAUCGCCCCGCGAAACAGGCGGGCUCGUAUUGACGGCGUCUCACUCCUUCUCGAUUCUCUUCACUCCCCCGCCCUCCUUCUCUCAGGCCGACGGGGAAUCUAAGUGGAGCCCCUCAGGAAUCCGCGGCCUGCGGGCUGCCGGCCGCUGUCCGGGCCGACGCCCUGCCUCAUUAUCCUUCUCCGCCGCCGCCGCCACUAGGAUCUUGUUGAGCCCCAGCCUGUGUCAAAAGCAGACGGCCCUUCUCCCUCCGCUUUGGCUUUCCGCCACUAUUCCCGGCUGGCCAGCACGGCCCUUGUUGCCGCCGCCCACUCACUUUCCUCAACCAUCACUCGGACGGCCUAGCUCGCUCUCGCUCUCUCCCUCUCCCGCCCUCUGGUGGGCGGCGUCCUCCGCCCGUCACCAUGGCAACAGCCAUCGCCCCGCCCUCUCUCCACUCCCAUUGGUUGUUUGGGUUCAGGUCUUUUUUCCCAUUCGACAUCGUUGCUGUCUAUCACGCCCCUUAUGUCAUUUUGGACUGGGCAACCUUGGUGUCAGUCAUCUGCCCCUCCCUGCGGCAUUUGAUUUAAAGUUCCUCUGCUAUCCACAAGUCCCAGAAGGCGAGUGUUAGCGACAGUCACCGUGAGCUCGCUCGCCAGGAUCUCUCAGGGAAGGCCAUGGGAGUGAUCGACCGCUGGUGUGCGAGUCAGUCCCUCUGGCGGUCGGCGGCUAGGUGGCAGCACGACCCAGGCUAGCGAAACACUGGAGAUCAAAGAUCAUACUACACCUCGGUGCAUUGGAUAACGCAGGAAUGGCGAAUCUUGCUCCACUUUAUGAUAUUUGCUGGAGAUAGACACAAAAAGCUGGAGUAACUCAGUGGGACAGGCAGCAUCUCCGGAGAGAAUGAAUGGGUGACGUUUCGGGUCGAGACCCUUCUUCACAUCAGCACUGGGCUUGUUCUGCCGUGGUCUUGUCAACCGAGGUCACAUCACGGAAAGGACGUCGUCGUGAAUUAAGGAUAGGAUAAUAAGUUAGUUGUCACGUUGUAUUAAAUGAACAUUAUUAAUAU